UUAACAUUUAACUAGCGAAAUUUCUUCAAUAUCCGUUUGAAAGUAGUUUUUAUUUUUGAUUUUGAUUUUACAGACUUAACAUGGUGUUCAAUACUGGUUUCACCAUCUUCCAAUAUCGGUGGUAAAGGUGGUCUCCAUCUUGUGGAUGCUUCUUCAUCAAUCGCGGUGGUUUUGGAGCUGCAACACCGAUGGAAUAGAAAAAAACCCAUUUAAUAUUAUCUUUAAUUUUUUAAAAAUGUUAUAAUGGAAAGAGAUCUGGGUUUUCUGUUUAUGUAUUGUUAGUGUAUAUAUACAAAAGGUACACUUGUUUUUAGGUGUCAUUUAUUGUGUAUUGUAUCUUUUAUAUAGUGACUAGGGAAGUUCCGCGCUACGCGCAGAAUUUGAUGAAUCGAUUUUUAUUAAUAUAUAAUUUUGUAUAAAUUUUCUUAUAUGUUAAGAUGGGUGUGAGUAUGAUUAUUUUGUCUACACCAAAUUCCAAUUAUAUGAAUAAAAUGACUGAAUUCUUACUAUUAUCGCUGUUUUAAUUGAGAGUUGUAAGAUUUUAUAGUAUUUUAAGUAUUAUAACACUAUAAUAGUGUGGAUUUGGGGUUUUGAUUUAGAAAUUAGGAUAACAAGAAUUUUUUUGUUUAUAGAUGAGAAUUUUUUUUAGAUUUUUUGAUAAAUAGGUGUAUUUUUUUUUAAAUAAUUCUCAAAAAUUAUAUUUUAGGAAAGUUUUCAUUUUCUAUAGAAUUAUUGUAGAUUGAGGGUUGUGGUUUAGAAACUAGGAAAACAAGAACUUUUUCGGAUAGAUGAGUAUUUUUUUUUUGAUUUUUUGAUCAAUAAGUUUUAUAUUUUAGAUAAAAUUCUCAAAAAUUCUAUUUUAGGAAAGUUUUCAUUUUUGUGAAUAAUAGUGUGGAUUUGGGGUUUUGAUUUAGAAAUUAGGAUAACAAGAAUUUUUGUUUAUAGAUGAGUAUUCUUUUAGAUUUUUUGAUCAAUAGUUGUAUUUUUAAAAAAAUAAUUCUCAAAAAUUCUAUUUUAGGAAAGUUUUCAUUUUUUAUAGAAAUAUUGUAGAUUUGGGGUUGUGAUUUAUAAAUUAGGAUAACAAGAAUUUUUGUUGAUAGAUGAGUAUUUUUUUAGAUUUUUUGAUCAAUAGUUUUAUAUAUUUUAGAUAAAAUUCUCAAAAAUUCUAUUUUAGGAAAAUUUUCAUUUUUGUGAAUAAUAGUGUGGAUUUGAGGUUUUGAUUUAGAAAUUAGGAUAACAAGAAUUUUUUUUUGUUUAUAGAUGAGAAUUUGUUUUAGAUUUUUUGAGCAAUUGUUGUAUUUUUUUCAAAAUAAUUCUCAAAAAUUCUAUUUUAGGAAAGUUUUCAUUUUCUAAAGAAUUAUUGUAGAUUGGGGGUUGUGAUUUAGAAACUAGGAAAACAAGAACUUUUGCGGACAAAUGAGUAUUUCUUUUUAAUUUUUUGAUCAAUAGGUUUUAUAUUUUAGAUAAAAUUCUCGAAAAUUCUAUUUUAUGAAAGUUUUCAUUUUUGUGAGUAAUAGUGUGGAUUUGGGGUUUUGAUUUAGAAAUUAGGAUAACAAGAAUUUUUUUUUAUUUAUAGAUGAGUAUUAUUUUUGAUUUUUUGAUCAAUAGUUGUAUUUUUUAAAAAUAAUUCUCAGAAAUUCUAUUUUAGGAAAGUUUUCAUUUUUUUAGAAAUAUUGUAGAUUGGGGGUUGUGAUUUAGAAACUACGAUAACAAGAAUUUUUGUGGAUAGAUGAGUAUUUUAUUAGAUUUUUUUAUCAAUAGGUUUUAUAUUUUAGAUAAAAUUCUUAAAAAUUCUAUUUUAGGAAAGUUUUCAUUUUUGUGAAUAAUAGUGUGGAUUUGGGGUUUUUAUUUAGAAAUUAGGAUAACAAUAAUUUUUUUGUUUAUAGACGAGUAUUCUUUUAGAUUUUUUGAUCAAUAGUUGUAGUUUUUUAAAAAUAAUUCUCAAAAAUUAUAUUUUAGGAAAGUUUUCAUUUUUAUAGAAAUAUUGUAGAUUUUAAGUUGUGAUUUAGAAAUUAGGAUAACAAGAAUUUUUGUUGAUAGAUGAGUAUUUUUUUUUUUAGAUUUUUUGAUCAAUAAGUUGUAUAUUUUACAUAAAAUUCUUAAAAAUUCUAUUUUAAGAAAGUUUUAGUUUUUCGGAAUAAUAGUGUGGAUUUGGGGUUUUGAUUUAGAAAUUAGGAUAACAAGAAAUGUUUUGUUUAUAGAUGAGUAUUCUUUUAGAUUUUUUGAGCAAUAGUUGUAUUUUUUAAAAAUAAUUCUCAAAAGUUCUAUUUUAGGAAAGUUUUCAUUUUUAUAAAAAUAAUGUACAUUUGAGAUUGUGAUUUAGAAAUUAGGAUAACAAGAAUUUUUGUAGAUAGAUGAGUAUUCUUUUUUUUUUUGUUAAAGGGUUUUCAUUAAUAAAGAAGGUAGCAGAUACAUAAGGCAAGCAAGCACCAUAUUACAUAAUAUAAGAAGCAGAGAGAAGGAUCAGAUACAUCACUGAUAGAUAGAUGAGUAUUCUUUUAGAUUUUUUGAUCAAUAGGAUGUAUAUUUUAGAUAAAAUUGUCAAAAAUUCUAUUUUAGGAAAAUUUUUAUUUUUGUAAAUAAAAGUGUGGAUUUGGGGUUUUAAUUUAAAAAUUAGGAUAACAAGAAUUUUUUGUUUAUAGAUGAGUAUUCUUUUAGAUUUUUGGUCAAUAUUUUUAUUUUAAAAAAAAUAAUUUUCAAAAAUUCUAUUUUAGGAAAGUUUUCAUUUUUUAUAGAAAUAUUGUAGAUUUGGGUUGUGAUUUAGAAAUUCAGAUUACAAGAAUUUUUAUUGAUAGAUGAGUAUUCUUUUAGAUAUUUUGAUCAAUAGGUUUUAUAUUUUAGAUAAAAUUCUCAAAAAUAUUAUUUUUGAAAAUUUUCAUUUUUAUAGAGAAAUAUUAUAGAUUUGAGGUUGUGAUUUGUAAAUUAGGAUAACAAGAAUUGCUGUAGAUAGAUGAGUAUUCUUUUAGAUUUUUUGAUCAAUAGGUUGUAUAUUUUAGAUAAAAUUCUCAAAAAUUCUACUUUAGGAAAGUUUUCAUUUUUCUGAAUAAUAGUGUGGGUUUGGGGUUUUGAUUUAGAAAUUAGGAUAAUAAGAAUUUUUUUUGUUUAUAGAAGAGUAUUCUUUUGGAUUUUUUGAUCAAUAGUUGUAUUUUUUUAAAAUAAUUCUAAAAAAUUCUAUUCUAGGAAAGUUUUUAUUUUUUAUAGAAAUAUUGUAGAUUUGGGGUUUUUAUUUAGAAAUUAGAAUAACAAGAAUUGUUUUUGAUAGAUGAGUAUUUUUUUAAGAUUUUUUUAUCAAUAGGUUGUAUAUUUUAGAUAAAAUUCCAUGAAAUUCUAUUUUAGGAAAGUUUUCAUUUUUGUGAAUAAUAGUGUGGAUUUGGGGUUUUAAUUUAGAAAUUAGGAUAUCAAGAAUUUUUUGUUUAUAGAUGAGUAUUAAUCUUUUAGAUUUUUGAUCAAUAUUUUUAUUUUUAAAGAAUAAUUCCCAAAAAUUAUAUUUUAGGAAAGUUUUCAUUUUUUAUAUAUAAAUAUUGUAGAUUUGGGUUGUGAUUUAGAAAUUUGGAUAACAAGAAUUUUUGUUGAUAGAUGAGUAUUCUUUUAGAUAUUUUGAUCAAUAGGUUUUAUAUUUUAGAUAAAAUUCUCAAAUAAUUUAUUUUUUGAAAUUUUUUAUUUUUAUAGAGAAAUAUUGUAGAUUUGAGGUUGUGAUUUAUAUAUUUGGAUAACAAGAAUUUCUGUAGAUAGAUGAGUAUUCUUUUAGAUUUUUUGAUCAAUAGGUUGUAUAUUUGAGAUAAAAUUCUCAAAAAUUCUACUUUAGGAAAGUUUUCAUUUUUGUGAAUAAUAGUGUGGGUUUGGGAUUUUGAUUUAGAAAUUAGGAUAACAAGUAUUUUUUUUGUUUAUAGAUGAGUAUUCUUUUAGAUUUUUUGAUCAAUAGUUGUAUUUUUUAAAAAUAAUUAUAAAAAAUUCUAUUCUUGGAAAGUUUUAAUUUCUUAUAGAAAUAUUGUAGAUUUUGGGUUUUGAUUUAAAAAUUAGGACAACAAGAAUUUUUGUUGAUAGAUGAGUAUUUUUUAAGAUUUGUUUUAUCAAUAGGUUGUAUAUUUUAGAUAAAAUUCUCAAAACUUCUAUUUUAGGAAAAUUUUCAUUUUUGUGAAUAAUAGUGUGGAUUUGGGGUUUUGAUUUAGAAAUUAGGAUAACAAGAAUUGUUUUGUUUAUAGAUGAGUAUUCUUUUAGAUUUUUUGAUCAAUAGUUGUAUUUUUUAAAAAUAAUUCUAAAAAAAAUCUAUUCUAGGAAAGUUUUCAUUUUUUAUAGAAUUGUUGUAGAUUUGGGGUUUUGAUUUAAAAAUUAGGAUAACAAGAAUUUUUGCUUAUAGAUGAGUUUUUUUUAAGAUUUUUUUAUCAAUAGAUUGUAUAUUUUAGAUAAAAUUCUCAAAAAUUCUAUUUAAGGAAAGUUUUCAUUUUUGUGAAUAAUAGUGUGGAUUUGGGGUUUUGAUUUAGAAAUUAGGAUAACAAGAUUUUUUUUUUUAUAGAUGAGAAUUUUUUUAGAUUUUUUGAUCAAUAUGUGUAUUUUUUUUUAAAUAAUUCUCAAAAAUUCUAUUUUAGGAAAAUUUUCAUUUUCUAUAGAAUUAUUGUAGACUGGAGGUUGUGGUUUAGAAACUAGGAAAACAAGAACUUUUGCAAAUAGAUGAGUAUUUUUUUUUUGAUCAAUAAAUUUUAUAUUUUAGAUAAAAUUCUCAAAAAUUCUAUUUUAGGAAAGUUUUCAUUUUUAUAGAGAAAUAUUAUAGAUUUGAGGCUGUGAUUUAUAAAUUAGGAUAACAAGAAUUUUUGUAGAUUGAUGAGUAUUCUUUUAGAUUUUUUGAUCAAUAGGUUGUAUAUUUUAGAUAAAAUUCUCAAAAAUUUUAUUUUAGGAAAGUUUUCAUUUUUGUGAAUAAUAGUGUUAAUUUGGGGUUUUGAUUUAGAAAUUAGGAUAACAAGAAUUUUUUUGUUUAUAGAUGAGUAUUCUUUUAGAUUUUUUGAUUAAUAGUUGUAUUUUUUAAAAAUAAUUCUCAAAAAUUCUAUUUUAGGAAAGUUUUCAUUUUUUAUAGAAAUAGUGUAGAUUGGGGGUUGUGAUUUAGAAACUAGGAUAACAAGAAUUUUUGUGGAUAGAUGAGUAUUUUUUUUAGAUUUUUUGAUCAAUAGGUUUUAUAUUUUAGAUAAAAUUCUCAAAAAUUCUCUUUUAGGAAAAUUUUCAUUUUUGUGAAUAAUAGUGUGGAUUUGCGGUUUUUAUUUAGAAAUUAGGAUAACAAGAAUUUUUUUGUUUAUAGAUGAGAAUUUCUUUUAGAUUUUUUUAUCAAUAGUUAUAUUUCUUUAAAAAUAAUUCUCAAAAAUUCUAUUUUUGGAAAGUUUUCAUUUUCUAUAGAAUUAUUGUAGAUUGGGGGUUGUGGUUUAUAAACUAUGAAAACAAGAACUUUUGCGGAUAGAUAAGUAUUUUUUUUUUGUUUUUUUGAUCAAUAGAUUUUAUAUUUUUGAUAAAAUUCUCAAAAAUUCUAUUUUAGGAAAGUUAUCAUUUUUGUGAAUGAUGGUGUGGAUUUGAGGUUUUGAUUUAGAAAUUAGGAUAACAAGAAUUUUUUUGUUUAUAGAUGAGUAUUCUUUUAGAUUUUUCGAUCAAUAGUUGUAUUUUUUAAAGAUAAUUCUUAAAAAAUUUAUUUUAGUGAAGUUUUCAUUUUUUUAUAGAAAUAUUGUAGAUUUGGGGUUGUGAUUUAGAAAAUAGGAAAACAAGAACUUUUGUGGAUAAAUGAGUAUUUUUUUUUUAAUUUUUUGAUCAAUAGGUUUUAUAUUUUAGAUAAAAUUCUCAAAAAUUCUAUUUUAGGAAAGUUUUCAUUUUUGUGAGUAAUGGUGUGGAUUUGGGGUUUUGAUUUAGAAAUUAGGAUAACAAGAAUUUUUUUGUUUAUAGAUGAGAAUUCGUUUUAGAUUUUUUGAUCAAUAGUUGUAUUUUUGAAAAUAAUUCUCAAAAAUUCUAUUUUAGGAAAUUUUUCAUUUUUUAUAGAAUUAUUGUAGAUUGGGGGUUGUGAUUUAGAAACUAGGAAAAUAAGAUCUUUUGCGGAUAAAUGAGUAUUUUUUUUUAAUUUUUUGAUCAAUAGGUUUUAUAUUUUAGAUAAAAUUCUCAAAAAUUCUAUUUUAGGAAAGUUUUCAUUUUUGUGAGUAAUAGUGUGGAUUUGGAGUUUUGAUUUAGAAAUUAGGAUAACAAGAAUUUUUUUGUUUAUAGAUGAGUAUUCUUUUAGGUUUUUUGAUCAAUAGUUGUAUUUUUAAAAAAAAAAUUCUCAAAAAUUCUAUUUUAAGAAAGUUUUCAUUUUUUUAGA
rnacentral:lncRNA from 1 species